rnacentral:rRNA from 1 species
AGUGAACGCUGGCGGCAGGCCUAACACAUGCCAGUCGAGCGGCAGCGGGUCCUUCGGGCUGCCGGCGAGCGGCGGACGGGUGAGGAAUGCAUCGGAAUCUGCCCUGUCGUGGGGGAUAACCUAGGGAAACUUAGGCUAAUACCGCAUACGACCCACGGGUGAAAGCGGGGGAUCGCAAGACCUCGCGCGAUAGGAUGAGCCGAUGUCCGAUUAGCUAGUUGGCGGGGUAAAGGCCCACCAAGGCGACGAUCGGUAGCUGGUCUGAGAGGAUGAUCAGCCACACUGGGACUGAGACACGGCCCAGACUCCUACGGGAGGCAGCAGUGGGGAAUAUUGGACAAUGGGCGCAAGCCUGAUCCAGCCAUGCCGCGUGGGUGAAGAAGGCCUUCGGGUUGUAAAGCCCUUUUGUCCGGGAAGAAAUCGUCUGGGCUAAUACCCCGGGCGGAUGACGGUACCGGAAGAAUAAGCACCGGCUAACUUCGUG